AUUGAACGCUGGCGGCAGGCCUAACACAUGCAAGUCGAGCGAGCGGCGGACGGGUGAGUAAUGUAUGGGGACUGCCCGAUAGAGGGGGGUAACUACUGGAAACUGAGGGUAAUACCGCAUACUGACGGCUAACCCAUAUGGUAUUAGCUAGUAGGUAAGGUAAUGGCCUACCUAGGCGAUGAUCCCUAGCUGGUCUGAGAGGAUGAUCAGCCAAACUGGGACGUAGACACGGCCAAGACUCCUACGGAGGCAUCAGUGGGGAAGAGUGCACAAUGGGCGAAAGCCGGAUGCAGCCAUGCGGCGUGUAUGAAGAAGGCCCUAGGUUUGUAAAGUACGUUCAGUCGUGAGGCGGUACCGACAGAAGAAGCACCGGCUAACUCCGUGCCAGCAGCCGCGGUAAUAC
rnacentral:rRNA from 1 species